AAUUAGUUUCGGCGUGGUCGUCUAGUGAAGAAGUUGGGCAGCUGCCGUCUAAUGAAAUAGUGACAAAUUUUGUGUUGGUUUCUCCUAAUAAUCAGUUAUUUCUUCUGAUUAACUAGUUUACUAACAAAGUUUUGACUGAAGCUGUUAUACAAGUGUCUCCUCGUUACGUCUCACGACUCUCACCUGGUCUCAUCCCAUUGCCUCGACAAACUGGAUCGGGUCUUCUAGAAUCUAUCGGGCCCCCACUUUUAAUCCAGAUGUAUGUUUCGUGUACACACCCCUCUCGAGAGCAAUGCGAUACGUCCACUGAGAAGUUUGUCGAUACAUUGGCCACCACCUGACGUCAUCAUUUUCCUCGGGGGGUCGACAUUUCGUAUUGAGGGGAUCGACUGGAGCCAAAUGUCAAACUCGGACUUUGUAGUAUAGCAGGGAAUGACGUGAAGACGCUGAGAGUUUCACACGACACUUUCACGCUUGUUGGCCGCGGCUGAACUACUUGACGUCUCCCUUCGAAGGAAAUCGUGCGAUUGGCGAAAGGCUUUGGGCAUCGUGUCGCUCCACGUGACGUGCGGUUUUUUCGUUUCCGUCGCUGCUGCCGUUCCAGCAAGUGUCGAAGAGGAUCCCAUGCCGAAGCCUUUGUACGACCGUGGUAGGGUGGCCGGUCCAAAAUCGCACGACCCUGUGAAGAAUUAAGAAACAAAAAACACGAUCCUUUCGUUAAUUGGUUUCGACGUGAAAAGAGAACUAUCUGUCGUGUACGGAGGUGUGAUGAGUCCGGCUUCAAUCGACUGCUGAUGCGUCAUCAUCAUGUUCGGCGGAGGCGGGGGAGGAGGCAGCGAUGGCGAGUGAGCAGACGGUGGAGGUUCGCCAACUGGCCAGCCGAGUUGCGUCAAUCCGGUGUGACAAAACAUUUGGUUCUUCCAGUGGUCGGGCUCAAUCCUGGACACGAACAUGGGACCACCUCCGCCGGCGUCUAGAUUGCAGUCUACGCUAUCCAUCAGGGGUUUGAGCGAUUGCGAUCGGGGAUUCACACCUCCGCCUCUCGCCGCCUUCGAGAUGGUCGAAGCACCGCCCGCUGUUCCAUUUGUUUGGUUGAGGGUCGACUCGGAAGUGCGGAUUAGUCCGCCGUUGGAUGCAUUGCCAAUCCCGUCAUUGUUGGCCGCCGCCUGGGCUUCUCGGAUGCACUGACGUCGCAGGAAGACGACAACGACGAUGCCAGCGAUGCACAGCAACAAUACCACCCCACUGAGGAUCCCCAGCGUUGGAGUCAGGAUUGAAUUACUUGGGCGUGGUUCUGCAAAAAAGAGAAAGCGGACAGACAAAAAAUACGAGUAACACAAGUCAAGGAAUUUGUUGCUGCAGAUGCCACAAGAUCUUAUCGCAAUCCGUCGCUUCUUAGUUACGUUAACUAGUGUUAGACUGACAACAAAAGGAUUGACGUUAGAAAAGAGGAAACGCUCUUGAAAGAUAAAUAAUCUAACCGUAUGAGGGGUGAAAAGGCGAUGUGGCGGUGUCGGUGGCAGGAAAAAAAGGAAAUAAAGUCAAAAGAGGAAGAAAAGUAAGACAGGAUAUGCGCUGUGUGGGCUUGUGUGUGUGUGUGUGUAUACUCUCGAGUGAAUAGAACCGCCGCAGACUCCCGCGGGAUCGAAAAUGAGUAAACAAGGGACCUGAUAUUAUGUAUACAGCCGUUGCUCCCCAACAUAUCCAUAUUUCUAGCUGCGAGAGAGAUGCACUGGCUGCGACAGUCAAUUUCGUUUUCGUUUGUAAGCAAAAGCAACAAACCAACAUCAAUAUUCUAGCACUUCUGCUACUGCUGUUACGUAUAAAGGAGCGGCUGUGUGUAGAUUCUCUUGACUUAUUACAUCAGAAAUUCCAUCAAUAUAGUAGGGCCUCAAUAGAUCAAUAGAAAAGAAUAAAAACAUUUUUUUGUGGGAAUAAGGGACGGGAGAAAAAAGUAAGAAAAAGUAAUCGGACCUGUCGACUUGCCUGGUUUGACCUCCAGCUGUCUCUCCGGCUCUUUCUGGGUAGAUAUUUCGACAAUGACAUCGUCGCUCUUGCCUUUGGCGUUGAUGGAAGCAAUGGAAGCCUUGUAGCGCAUGUUCGUCUUGAGACUUGACAGGAGGAAGAUGGGUUCGGCGAAAAUCUGGUGGAUGACGAGUCGACCUGACGAGUUGCUCUCCUCGAAGAAGUGGAGCGAGAAAUUCUGCGGCAGUCCACCGUGAAAACCCGGCUGGCAGGCGAUCAGGAACGCAUCGCUGGAGUGGUUGGAAACGGUGCAGUUGAAGACCGGCUCGGGUGGACCUGAUGAGUAACAAGGAAAUUCAACCAGGCGAAAAUUCAUUACACGUUGUGUGUGUACAUUUGGGUAAAUGAUGUUCAAUGCGGACAAGUUUGGAUAUUACCUUGUAGAAUUACACUGUACCGUAUUACACUGCUUUUACAUAUA
rnacentral:lncRNA from 1 species